rnacentral:tRNA from 1 species
CGAGGCCCGGGGCGUGCUCGGCGUGCCCUUCCCGUGGCUGGUGACCUCGGAGUGGAUGCACUACGGGUACGCGCUGAUCAUGCUCGUGGGCCUCGUC